rnacentral:rRNA from 1 species
UACGGAGGUGGCAAGCGUUGUUCGGAUUUACUGGGUGUAAAGGGCAUGUAGGUGUUCUGGUAAGUUCUGAUUGAAAUCCUUCGGCUUAACCGAAGAACGUGUCAGAAUACUGCUAGAAUUGAGGACGGAAGAGGAGAACGGAAUUCCCGGUGUAAGGGUGAAAUCUGUAGAUAUCGGGAGGAACACCAGUGGCUAAAGCGGUUCUCUGGUCCGUAUCUGACACUGAAAUGCGAAAGCUAGGGGAGCAAACAGGAUUAGAUACCCCAGUA